UCGAGCACGAUGGUGAGUAAUUUUGUGCAUCAAUAUGAGAAAACCUUAGAUGCACGUUAUUUCAAGGAGAAAGAGAAGGACGUGCAAACAAAAUCAACACGGGCUGUUAUGAAAACUUUAUGGAAAAUUGAAGCAGAUGCGGCCUCAGUCUAUACAAGGAAGUCUUUCAUGAUCUUCCAGGAUGAGCUCUUCAAUAGCCAAUGGUACAUUCCAACCAAAGUUGGAAAAGAGGGCGAAAGUAGGAUAUACGGAGUCACACCGAAUGGCAAAGAGCAACCUAUUUAUCAUGUGACCUUGGAGAGUGGAGAUGCAAAGGCAAUAUGUACAUGUCAUAUGUUUGAGUUUGUGGAGAUUCUUUUUAGGCAUAUCCUAUGUGUCCUUGGGAAGAAAUCGAAAUUAGAUAUGUUGCCACAUCAUUAUAUUCUAGAGAGAUGGACCAUCAAUGCUAAGAGUCGGGCCGUUCUUGACAUACCAAAUUCCGAUGGCCAUGUAAUGACACACAAUGAUCCAAUGAUGAGAAAAAGCAAGUUGAUGACGCAAUUCUAUGAUAUUGCCGAACUUGGCUCACAAUCACCACAGAAAUACAACCACCUCUCUCUUUCCUUAGACAAGGUCCACAAGGAGUUGCUCUAUAUGGAAGAUAUUGAUGGAGAAAAAACUAUAGAAGGUGGAAAUAUGUCACCGAAUGAUUCGCAAAUGUUUAAAUCCCAAGUUGUAUCAAAUUUUUCUCAAAUUUUACAAGAUCCUCCAAGGGUGCCAACGAAAGGCCAACCAAAAUCGUUGAGAGCAAAAAACUUGAAAGAGACUCAAACCACAAAAAAAAGGCUUUUACAUUUGCAAAACUGAGGGUCACGCUAAGAACAAUUGUCCUUCAGUAAGGGAUCUUGGAAAUAUAGGUGGGAACAUAUCUCAAAACUUGAAUCUGUUGGGUCAAACAUGAGUUAAUAAGAGUGAAGAAUUGUAUUGGUUGCCUUAGAGAUGAAGUUGGAGGAUUGCAGUGAUGGCUCAAUUGAGGGAGCAUGUCAAUGGAGAUGUUAAUGGAGAUGUCAAUGGAGAUGUUCAUUUUGGAAAUGUUAUGUAUUUGUCCUUUUUCAUAUUUUGGAUAGUUAAUGUAAUGAAGAUGAUGUAAUGAAAAUGAUUUUGGAAAUGUUAGUGUAAUGUUGAUGAUUUAAUGGAAAUGGUUUUGAAAAUGUUAUGUAUUUGUGCAUUUUCAGAUUUUGGAUAGUUAAUGUAAUGUUGAUGAUGUAAUGGAACAGAUUAUGGAAAUAUUAUGUAUUAGCAAGUUAAUGUAAUGUUCAUGAUGUAAUUUUCGUCAUUCUAGAAA